CCGAGUUUACAACUCCCAACCCCUGUGAACAUACCUCAGUUGCUUCGGCGGCCGCGCCCCGGGCUCGACCCCGGAACCAGGCGCCCGCCGGAGGCCACAAACCAUUGUUUCUACUUUUGUAUUCUCUGAGUGGUUUAAACAAAUAAAUCA
rnacentral:misc_RNA from 1 species